rnacentral:rRNA from 1 species
AUACGGAGGAUCCGAGCGUUAUCCGGAUUUAUUGGGUUUAAAGGGUGCGCAGGCGGCCAUUUAAGUCAGCGGUUAAAUCGUGGGGCUCAACCCCAUUCUGCCGUUGAUACUGGGUGGCUUGAUUGCGGUCGAGGUUGGCGGAAUUCGUUGUGUAGUGGUGAAAUGCAUAGAUAUGACGAAGAACACCGAUUGCGUAGGCAGCUGACCAGACCGCAAAUGACGCUCAUGCACGAAAGUGCGGGGAUCGAACAGGAUUAGAUACCCUGGUAGUCCGCACAGUAAACGAUGAAUACUUGUUUUCGGCGAUAUAAUGUCGGAGGCAAAGCGAAAGCGAUAAGUAUUCCACCUGGGGAGUACGCCGGCAACGGUGAAACUUAAAGGAAUUGACGGGG